rnacentral:lncRNA from 1 species
CUCUCCCCCCUCCUCUUGUCUCUUAACAGGAAGCAGUUCUGAAGGAGAUCUCUGCUGCAGAGGAGGGGAAAAGGCGAAGGAAUCCCUCACUUCAAAUGAGAUUAGGAAGAUGUUCCCACAGCGCAACAUCUCGUAGAAAAAUCAUCUGAACAAGGCUGUAGCAGUAUGAGUGAUAAAGCUGUUUAAUGACAAGGCAAAGUCACAUUUCCACAAAAAAGUGGAGGCAAAAGCGAGUGUCAUUGGGUAGAUUCCUUGUUAAAGUUGCAUGAAAAGAAAAGAUUCCAUUGGGCCAAUGGAUAGCAGUGAUUCAUUACUGGUGGUGAAAGCUGUCCGACACAGUAACCCUCUUCUCUCGUCUCCCUCACAUCAGCCACGAGGGUUUGCAAAGGUCUCAAAACACGGAAGGAAAACCAAGCCCAAAUUAAUAGAAGAAGUGGACCCGGUGUGGUGGCGCAGGGGACUUGGGAGGCCGAAGCAAGGUUCCUGCGAGCUCGGGGCCAGCCUGAGCUGCACAGCGAGACCGUCUUGCUCAGAGGGCUGUGGUGUCUAUGAGAUUAGUACGUAUCAAUGGCGCGCUGACCAGUCUAGGAAGGCGACUGAUCUGAUGCACACUUGUCUUCGUCUGCCUUCUCCAGAGCGUGGGCUGUGCAAGCCUAGGGGGAAGGUGGCCCUGUUUUGGAAGCCAACCUCUCCCGGGCCGUAG